GAGGCCGGGGUGUUAAUACACACACAGGUAGCGAGGAGGCCGGGGUGUUAAUACACACACAGGUAGCGAGGAGGCCGGCGUGUUAAUACACACACAGGUAGCGAGGAGGUCGGGGUGUCUGCUGCUGUUCCCAUGGCCCCGCUGUGCUGCGGAACAGUCCCUCGAGGUAACAGGUUGGCUGCCUCACACUUGAGGUUUUGUUUUUCCAGCCCUCAGGUGGAGUCUUCAUUAUUCUUCUGUAGUUGGACCUGAUCUGGCCACAGCUGGCAUCCCCAGAACGUCCCUACACCGAUUCUCCCGCUCAGGACUGGACAUGUAGCGUGUGGCACUUCCAAUCAAGGCCUCCACCAAGGCAGGUGUGACUUGCUGAAGGGCAGUUGGCUUCCCUUGAGGCUUGCAGGGCAGUGGACUGGCAUAACCAUGCCUGGUCCCCAUGAGAGCACUUCACUUCAUCUGAAUUCCUGGAAUGUGAGCUAAAAGCAGUAGGUGGGUGAGAGUUUUGUGAGGCGUUGAGGUCUGGCAGUAGGUGGUCUGUGGAAGAGAAGCGG
rnacentral:lncRNA from 10 species